UAAUUUGAGAGUUUGAUCCUGGCUCAGGACGAACGCUGGCGGCGUGCCUAAUACAUGCAAGUCGAACGAACUCUGGUAUUGAUUGGUGCUUGCAUCAUGAUUUACAUUUGAGUGAGUGGCGAACUGGUGAGUAACACGUGGGAAACCUGCCCAGAAGCGGGGGAUAACACCUGGAAACAGAUGCUAAUACCGCAUAACAACUUGGACCGCAUGGUCCGAGCUUGAAAGAUGGCUUCGGCUAUCACUUUUGGAUGGUCCCGCGGCGUAUUAGCUAGAUGGUGGGGUAACGGCUCACCAUGGCAAUGAUACGUAGCCGACCUGAGAGGGUAAUCGGCCACAUUGGGACUGAGACACGGCCCAAACUCCUACGGGAGGCAGCAGUAGGGAAUCUUCCACAAUGGACGAAAGUCUGAUGGAGCAACGCCGCGUGAGUGAAGAAGGGUUUCGGCUCGUAAAACUCUGUUGUUAAAGAAGAACAUAUCUGAGAGUAACUGUUCAGGUAUUGACGGUAUUUAACCAGAAAGCCACGGCUAACUACGUGCCAGCAGCCGCGGUAAUACGUAGGUGGCAAGCGUUGUCCGGAUUUAUUGGGCGUAAAGCGAGCGCAGGCGGUUUUUUAAGUCUGAUGUGAAAGCCUUCGGCUCAACCGAAGAAGUGCAUCGGAAACUGGGAAGCUUGAGUGCAGAAGAGGACAGUGGAACUCCAUGUGUAGCGGUGAAAUGCGUAGAUAUAUGGAAGAACACCAGUGGCGAAGGCGGCUGUCUGGUCUGUAACUGACGCUGAGGCUCGAAAGUAUGGGUAGCAAACAGGAUUAGAUACCCUGGUAGUCCAUACCGUAAACGAUGAAUGCUAAGUGUUGGGGGGUUUCCGCCCUUCAGUGCUGCAGCUAACGCAUUAAGCAUUCCGCCUGGGGAGUACGGCCGCAAGGCUGAAACUCAAAGGAAUUGACGGGGGCCCGCACAAGCGGUGGAGCAUGUGGUUUAAUUCGAAGCUACGCGAAGAACCUUACCAGGUCUUGACAUACUAUGCAAAUCUAAGAGAUUAGACGUUCCCUUCGGGGACAUGGAUACAGGUGGUGCAUGGUUGUCGUCAGCUCGUGUCGUGAGAUGUUGGGUUAAGUCCCGCAACGAGCGCAACCCUUAUUAUCAGUUGCCAGCAUUAAGUUGGGCACUCUGGUGAGACUGCCGGUGACAAACCGGAGGAAGGUGGGGAUGACGUCAAAUCAUCAUGCCCCUUAUGACCUGGGCUACACACGUGCUACAAUGGAUGGUACAACGAGUUGCGAACUCGCGAGAGUAAGCUAAUCUCUUAAAGCCAUUCUCAGUUCGGAUUGUAGGCUGCAACUCGCCUACAUGAAGUCGGAAUCGCUAGUAAUCGCGGAUCAGCAUGCCGCGGUGAAUACGUUCCCGGGCCUUGUACACACCGCCCGUCACACCAUGAGAGUUUGUAACACCCAAAGUCGGUGGGGUAACCUUUUAGGAACCAGCCGCCUAAGGUGGGACAGAUGAUUAGGGUGAAGUCGUAACAAGGUAGCCGUAGGAGAACCUGCGGCUGGAUCACCUCCUUU
rnacentral:rRNA from 1 species